rnacentral:rRNA from 1 species
GUAGGGGGCAAGCGUUAUCCGGAUUUACUGGGUGUAAAGGGAGCGUAGGUGGUCUUUUAAGUCAGCGGUGAAAGUUUGUGGCUUAACCAUAAAAUUGCCAUUGAUACUGGGAGACUUGAGUGUGUUUGAGGUAGGCGGAAUGCGUAGUGUAGCGGUGAAAUGCAUAGAUAUUACGCAGAACUCCGAUUGCGAAGGCAGCUUACUAAACCAUAACUGACACUGAAGCACGAAAGCGUGGGUAUC